rnacentral:rRNA from 1 species
GAUGAACGCUGGCGGCGUGCUUAACACAUGCAAGUCGAACGGGAUCCAUCAGGCUUUGCUUGGUGGUGAGAGUGGCGAACGGGUGAGUAAUGCGUGACCGACCUGCCCCAUACACCGGAAUAGCUCCUGGAAACGGGUGGUAAUGCCGGAUGCUCCAGUUGAUCGCAUGGUCUUCUGGGAAAGCUUUCGCGGUAUGGGAUGGGGUCGCGUCCUAUCAGCUUGACGGCGGGGUAACGGCCCACCGUGGCUUCGACGGGUAGCCGGCCUGAGAGGGCGACCGGCCACAGUGGGACUGAGAUACGGCCCAGACUCCUACGGGAGGCAGCAGUGGGGAAUAUUGCACAAUGGGCGCAAGCCUGAUGCAGCGACGCCGCGUGGGGGAUGGAGGCCUUCGGGUUGUAAACCUCUUUUAUCGGGGAGCAAGCGAGAGUGAGUUUACCCGUUAAAUAAGCACCGGCUAACUACGUGCCAGCAGCCGCCGUAA